rnacentral:rRNA from 1 species
GACGAACGCUGGCGGCGUGCUUAACACAUGCAAGUCGAACGGAAAGGCCCUGCUUUUGUGGGGUGCUCGAGUGGCGAACGGGUGAGUAACACGUGAGUAACCUGCCCUUGACUUUGGGAUAACUUCAGGAAACUGGGGCUAAUACCGGAUAGGAGCUCCUGCUGCAUGGUGGGGGUUGGAAAGUUUCGGCGGUUGGGGAUGGACUCGCGGCUUAUCAGCUUGUUGGUGGGGUAGUGGCUUACCAAGGCUUUGACGGGUAGCCGGCCUGAGAGGGUGACCGGCCACAUUGGGACUGAGAUACGGCCCAGACUCCUACGGGAGGCAGCAGUGGGGAAUAUUGCACAAUGGGCGGAAGCCUGAUGCAGCAACGCCGCGUGCGGGAGGACGGCCUUCGGGUUGUAAACCGCUUUCGCCUGUGACGAAGCGUGAGUGACGGUAAUGGGUAAAGAAGCACCGGCGAACUACGU